AAGGGAGACCUAAUUCAGGUAGGAGACGAAAAAAAGUAGUCCCUACCAAGAAUCAAUCCCAAAAGGUCGGAGCGAGGCAAAAUUGGCUUUCAAACUAGGUUCUGGGUUCACAUAAGACCUGAAUCAGGAACAAGGGCUAUUAGCUCAGGUGGUUAGAGCGCACCCCUGAUAAGGGUGAGGUCCCUGGUCCGAGUCCAGGAUGGCCCACCUGCACAGGUGGCAAAAACAAAGAAAAGAAGCUCCGAAUCAGCACCUUAUCUUACUCAUAUAGUAAGAGAGAAUGCUGGCUCUGAGUUCAGAGUCCAGAGGAACCUUGAAAACUGCAUAGAGCUAGGUGAAAAAGCCAAAAAAGAAGACCGCAAGGUCAAGCUAAUAAGGGCUAACGGUGGAUACCUAGGCAC
rnacentral:tRNA from 1 species